GACGUAGGGGGCCAGCGUUGUUCGGAAUUACUGGGUGUAAAGGGUUCGUAGGCGGUGUGGCAAGUUGGGAGUGAAAUCUCUGGGCUCAACCCAGAGGCUGCUUCCAAAACUGCCAUGCUUGAGUGUGGGAGAGGCGCGUGGAAUUGCAGGUGUAGCGGUGAAAUGCGUAGAUAUCGGGAGGAACACCUGAGGCGAAGGCGGGCUACUGGGCCGAUACUGACGCUGAUGCGCGAAAGCCAGGGGAGCAAACAGG
rnacentral:rRNA from 1 species